rnacentral:rRNA from 1 species
GACGAACGUUGGCGGCGUGCUUAAUACAUGCAAGUCAACUGAAGCAUUGGUAGUAAUACUGAUGUGGAGGUGGCGCACGGGUGAGUAACACGUAGGUAAUCUGCCUAUAGGUCUGACAUAACUCCGGGAAACCGAAGCUAAUAUCAGAUGAUGCAGCGGCUCGACAUCGAGACAGUUGUUAAACCUUCGGGGCCUAUAGAUGAGCCUGCGCCUGAUUAGCUAGUUGGCGGGGUAACAGCCCACCAAGGCAACGAUCAGUAGCUGGUCUGAGAGGAUGAUCAGCCACACUGGAACUGAGAUACGGU